GUGCCAGCAGCCGCGGUAAUACGGAGGGGGCUAGCGUUGUUCGGAAUUACUGGGCGUAAAGCGCACGUAGGCGGACUGUUAAGUCGGGGGUGAAAUCCCGGGGCUCAACCCCGGAACUGCCUUCGAUACUGGCAGUCUAGAGUUCCGGAGAGGUGGGUGGAAUUCCGAGUGUAGAGGUGAAAUUCGUAGAUAUUCGGAGGAACACCAGUGGCGAAGGCGGCCCACUGGCCGGACACUGACGCGGAGGUGCGAAAGCGUGGGGAGCAAACAGGAUUAGAUACCCUGGUAGGCCACGCCCUAAACGAUGAGCGCUAGACGUCGGGCGGCAUGCCGUUCGGUGUCGCAGCUAACGCAUUAAGCGCUCCGCCUGGGGAGUACGGCCGCAAGGUUAAAACUCAAAUGAAUUGGCGGGG
rnacentral:rRNA from 1 species